rnacentral:tRNA from 1 species
CUGAGCUGACGGGCCUCGAUCCCGUAAAAUUUUAAUUAACAACUAAAAACCCAAACCAGCGGGCUUCAACCCA